GAUUCAUCUGUCUCUCCCUCCUCCCUGUUUGUAUGAAAGAAGCAGGGCAAUUUAAUUGGGAAGAGACGAUGAAACAUAGUUUAACCAUCUCUCUGCUGCUGUUGUUUAAGUAGCAGACAGCACUGCCUAAUGCUGCCUGGUGGCUGAGCAAAUUUCUCCCUGCUUUUGCUGAUAUUGAAAUGAUAUGCCAGACAAUCUCCAGUCUUUUCAGGUUUUUCAAGGUUGGGACACUGGGUUGCCUGGUUUCCCCUUGACUGACCCUGCAUGCCCGGGCAGGUGUGUUCAAAGUGUAUGGCCCAGGUACGAGGGCUUCAGUGAAGAACGUAGCUGAGAUGAGCCAGCCACAAAGACAAAAGUUAUAAAACAGAGGAAUUUGUUAGAGUGGAGCCUGCUGCUACAACCAGACCUUGAAAUGAAGAUUCAUGCCAUACUCUGGAACAUUCUUCUGUUGGCACCUCUUUCAGAAGAGAGCUGUUUGACCAACCCAUCUGGAAUGUCUGUUGUGGAUUGCUGCCCCAUCUUCUUCCCCUGUUAGGUCCCUUGCUUGGCUUAUUGAUUUCUCUAUUGCUUGCACCUUUUCUCAAUAAUAAAUCGAUGGCUUUCAUCAAGAAUCAGGUAUAUGCUAUCAAAAUAGAGCCUAUAUAGAUGCACUGCCAUUACCUUGACUUGGCCAAAAUGGGAGAUGACUAUAAUGAACUCUAUUUACAGAACAUAAGAUCUGUGUAUUUGAAAAAUCAUUGGGUUCAAUCUUUCCUUGGUGAGUUGGGCUGGAUAGCCAACAAUGGGCAAGAGAGGGAGGGUUUAGUGUGUCUGACCCUGAAGCCCCCUAAGAAAGGAAUCAUCAUCAUGCAACAUCAACUCCAGAAAAGGGUAAGGCUAUCAUACACUCUUCAGCCCAUUGAUUCCACUGACCUAAGCCUGGCACAGUCCCCUUAAGGACAUCCCCUACCUAUGGCCUUCUUACAUAUUAUAUAAAAAUAAAGGGAGACAUGUAGAGGACUCUGAAAGAAGAUAGCAUAAUAAUGUCAUCUAUGCCUUCUAUUACUUUUUUAACACUCAGUUAAGUUUCUGUUGCUUUGCAUCUGUCAAUUUUCUUGUAAAGCAUAUGCCCAUGUCUGUAGUCAAGACAGCUCCAGCCCCAGACUUAUCUCCUUGCAACACAUCAUGCCUAGAAGGACAAUAGUCUCCCCCACACCCUGACCCUUUUACCCUACUUAAAUCAUAUUGACCUGUCUAAUAAACUGAGACUUGAUCAGAGUA